GCGCGUGUGGCGUAAUUGGUAGCCGCGUUAGACUUAGGAUCUAAUGACACAUGUCGUGCGGGUUCGAGUCCCGCCAUGCGCA
rnacentral:tRNA from 1 species